CCCUUGUGUGGUUGCUGCCUAAUUCCAAAUUUCCAAUUGUUGGUGGGGGUGGGACUGGCAUCGGUCACUGAGACCUUGUUUAACUGAUUCUGGAGGGCUAUGGCUUUUUUUCUUCUGCACUGGAGUGCUCCUACUUGAAUUGCAUCACAUCCCCAAAAGAGGAGUUGGAAUUUUUCUUCACAUUUGAUUCCAGGAAGAACAAGAGAGCCUGGGAGCAGUUAUUUGAAUUGAGAUGGGUGCUUUUGCAACACCAGUUAUAAGGUCUUUUUCUCCUUUGACAACAGAGUUUGAUCGCUAAAGCAGGUAUUCGAUUAGCCCUUGAAGUUGGAAUUCUCCCCCUUGAAGUAGAGCCUGAUAGUAUGAAGGCUGGUAGCUUGGUA